GACGAACGCUGGCGGCGUGCCUAAUACAUGCAAGUCAAGCGGAUUGAUGGGAGCUUGCUCCCUGAUAUCAGCGGCGGACGGGUGAGUAACACGUGGGCAACCUGCCUAUAAGACUGGGAUAACUUCGGGAAACCGGAGCUAAUACCGGAUAAUCCCUUUCCUCUCAUGAGGAAAGGCUGAAAGAUGGUUUACGCAAUCACUUAUAGAUGGGCCCGCGGCGCAUUAGCUAGUUGGUGAGGUAACGGCUCACCAAGGCAACGAUGCGUAGCCGACCUGAGAGGGUGAUCGGCCACACUGGGACUGAGACACGGCCCAGACUCCUACGGGAGGCAGCAGUAGGGAAUCUUCCGCAAUGGACGAAAGUCUGACGGAGCAACGCCGCGUGAGUGAUGAAGGUUUUCGGAUCGUAAAACUCUGUUGUUAGGGAAGAACAAGUACGAGAGUAACUGCUCGUACCUUGACGGUACCUAACCAGAAAGCCACGGCUAACUACGUGCCAGCAGCCGCAGUAA
rnacentral:rRNA from 1 species